UUCUGGUUGAUCCUGCCAGAGGUCACCGCUAUUGGAGUUCGCUUAAGCCAUGCGAGUCAAGGGAACCUCUCGGGGUUACCGGCAUACUGCUCAGUAACACGUGGAUAAUCUGCCCUUGGGAGGGGUAUAACUUCGGGAAACUGAAGAUAAUUCCCCAUAGGUCAUGAAUGCUGGAACGCUUCAUGGCUGAAAGCUACGGCGCCCAAGGAUGAGUCUGCGGCCUAUCAGGUUGUAGUGGGUGUAAUGGACCCACUAGCCGGCGACGGGUACGGGUCGUGAAAGCGAUCGCCCGGAGAUGGAUUCUGAGACAUGAAUCCAGGCCCUACGGGGCGCAGCAGGCGCGAAAACUUCGCAAUGUGGGAAACCACGACGAGGGAACUCCAAGUGCCAGCACAAUGUGUUGGCUUUUCUCAUACCCAAAAAGCAUGAGGAAUAAGGGCUGGGUAAGACGGGUGCCAGCCGCCGCGGUAAUACCCGCAGCCCGAGUGGUGAUCGUUAUUAUUGGGCCUAAAACGUCCGUAGCCGGUUUUAUAAAUCUCUGGGUAAAUUGACUGGCCUAACCAGUCGAAUUCCGGAGAGACUGUAAAACUUGGGACCGGGUGAGGGUCGAGGUACUUCUGGGGGAGGGGUGAAAUCCUUAAAUCCCAGAAGGACCACCAGUGGCGAAGGCGUCGACCUAGAACGGCUCCGACGGUAAGGGACGAAACCCUGGGGCGCAAACGGGAUUAGAUACCCCGGUAGUCCAGGGCGUAAACGCUGUGGGCUUGGUGUUGGGUGUCCUACGAGGGCAUUCAGUGCCGGAGAGAAGUUGCUAAGCCUACUGCCUGGGGAGUACGCUCGCAAGAGUGAAACUUAAAGGAAUUGGCGGGGGAGCAC
rnacentral:rRNA from 1 species